AGCAGGUGUAUAACAGGUGUAUAGCAGGUGUAUAACAGGUGAAUAACAGGUGUAUAGCAGGUGUAUAACAGGUGUAUAACAGGUGAAUAACAGGUGUAUAACAGGUGUAUAACAGGUGUAUAACAGGUGAAUAACAGGUGUAUAACAGGUGUAUAGCAGGUGUAUAACAGGUGAAUAGCAGGUGAA